rnacentral:rRNA from 1 species
GUUAAGCGACUAAGCGUACACGGUGGAUGCCCUGGCAGUCAGAGGCGAUGAAGGACGUGCUAAUCUGCGAUAAGCGUCGGUAAGGUGAUAUGAACCGUUAUAACCGGCGAUUUCCGAAUGGGGAAACCCAGUGUGUUUCGACACACUAUCAUUAACUGAAUCCAUAGGUUAAUGAGGCGAACCGGGGGAACUGAAACAUCUAAGUACCCCGAGGAAAAGAAAUCAACCGAGAUUCCCCCAGUAGCGGCGAGCGAACGGGGAGGAGCCCAGAGCCUGAAUCAGUGUGUGUGUUAGUGGAAGCGUCUGGAAAGGCGCGCGAUACAGGGUGACAGCCCCGUACACAAAAAUGCACAUGCUGUGAGCUCGAUGAGUAGGGCGGGACACGUGGUAUCCUGUCUGAAUAUGGGGGGACCAUCCUCCAAGGCUAAAUACUCCUGACUGACCGAUAGUGAACCAGUACCGUGAGGGAAAGGCGAAAAGAACCCCGGCGAGGGGAGUGAAAAAGAACCUGAAACCGUGUACGUACAAGCAGUGGGAGCCUCUUUUAUGGGGUGACUGCGUACCUUUUGUAUAAUGGGUCAGCGACUUAUAUUCUGUAGCAAGGUUAACCGAAUAGGGGAGCCGAAGGGAAACCGAGUCUUAACUGGGCGUUAAGUUGCAGGGUAUAGACCCGAAACCCGGUGAUCUAGCCAUGGGCAGGUUGAAGGUUGGGUAACACUAACUGGAGGACCGAACCGACUAAUGUUGAAAAAUUAGCGGAUGACUUGUGGCUGGGGGUGAAAGGCCAAUCAAACCGGGAGAUAGCUGGUUCUCCCCGAAAGCUAUUUAGGUAGCGCCUCGUGAAUUCAUCUCCGGGGGUAGAGCACUGUUUCGGCAAGGGGGUCAUCCCGACUUACCAACCCGAUGCAAACUGCGAAUACCGGAGAAUGUUAUCACGGGAGACACACGGCGGGUGCUAACGUCCGUCGUGAAGAGGGAAACAACCCAGACCGCCAGCUAAGGUCCCAAAGUCAUGGUUAAGUGGGAAACGAUGUGGGAAGGCCCAGACAGCCAGGAUGUUGGCUUAGAAGCAGCCAUCAUUUAAAGAAAGCGUAAUAGCUCACUGGUCGAGUCGGCCUGCGCGGAAGAUGUAACGGGGCUAAACCAUGCACCGAAGCUGCGGCAGCGACACUAUGUGUUGUUGGGUAGGGGAGCGUUCUGUAAGCCUGUGAAGGUGUACUGUGAGGUAUGCUGGAGGUAUCAGAAGUGCGAAUGCUGACAUAAGUAACGAUAAAGCGGGUGAAAAGCCCGCUCGCCGGAAGACCAAGGGUUCCUGUCCAACGUUAAUCGGGGCAGGGUGAGUCGACCCCUAAGGCGAGGCCGAAAGGCGUAGUCGAUGGGAAACAGGUUAAUAUUCCUGUACUUGGUGUUACUGCGAAGGGGGGACGGAGAAGGCUAUGUUGGCCGGGCGACGGUUGUCCCGGUUUAAGCGUGUAGGCUGGUUUUCCAGGCAAAUCCGGAAAAUCAAGGCUGAGGCGUGAUGACGAGGCACUACGGUGCUGAAGCAACAAAUGCCCUGCUUCCAGGAAAAGCCUCUAAGCAUCAGGUAACAUCAAAUCGUACCCCAAACCGACACAGGUGGUCAGGUAGAGAAUACCAAGGCGCUUGAGAGAACUCGGGUGAAGGAACUAGGCAAAAUGGUGCCGUAACUUCGGGAGAAGGCACGCUGAUAUGUAGGUGAAGCGACUUGCUCGUGGAGCUGAAAUCAGUCGAAGAUACCAGCUGGCUGCAACUGUUUAUUAAAAACACAGCACUGUGCAAACACGAAAGUGGACGUAUACGGUGUGACGCCUGCCCGGUGCCGGAAGGUUAAUUGAUGGGGUCAGCGCAAGCGAAGCUCUUGAUCGAAGCCCCGGUAAACGGCGGCCGUAACUAUAACGGUCCUAAGGUAGCGAAAUUCCUUGUCGGGUAAGUUCCGACCUGCACGAAUGGCGUAAUGAUGGCCAGGCUGUCUCCACCCGAGACUCAGUGAAAUUGAACUCGCUGUGAAGAUGCAGUGUACCCGCGGCAAGACGGAAAGACCCCGUGAACCUUUACUAUAGCUUGACACUGAACAUUGAGCCUUGAUGUGUAGGAUAGGUGGGAGGCUUUGAAGUGUGGACGCCAGUCUGCAUGGAGCCGACCUUGAAAUACCACCCUUUAAUGUUUGAUGUUCUAACGUUGACCCGUGAUCCGGGUUGCGGACAGUGUCUGGUGGGUAGUUUGACUGGGGCGGUCUCCUCCUAAAGAGUAACGGAGGAGCACGAAGGUUGGCUAAUCCUGGUCGGACAUCAGGAGGUUAGUGCAAUGGCAUAAGCCAGCUUGACUGCGAGCGUGACGGCGCGAGCAGGUGCGAAAGCAGGUCAUAGUGAUCCGGUGGUUCUGAAUGGAAGGGCCAUCGCUCAACGGAUAAAAGGUACUCCGGGGAUAACAGGCUGAUACCGCCCAAGAGUUCAUAUCGACGGCGGUGUUUGGCACCUCGAUGUCGGCUCAUCACAUCCUGGGGCUGAAGUAGGUCCCAAGGGUAUGGCUGUUCGCCAUUUAAAGUGGUACGCGAGCUGGGUUUAGAACGUCGUGAGACAGUUCGGUCCCUAUCUGCCGUGGGCGCUGGAGAACUGAGGGGGGCUGCUCCUAGUACGAGAGGACCGGAGUGGACGCAUCACUGGUGUUCGGGUUGUCAUGCCAAUGGCACUGCCCGGUAGCUAAAUGCGGAAGAGAUAAGUGCUGAAAGCAUCUAAGCACGAAACUUGCCCCGAGAUGAGUUCUCCCUGACUCCUUGAGAGUCCUGAAGGAACGUUGAAGACGACGACGUUGAUAGGCCGGGUGUGUAAGCGCAGCGAUGCGUUGAGCUAACCGGUACUAAUGAACCGUGAGGCUUAACCUUACAAC